rnacentral:rRNA from 1 species
AUUGAACGCUGGCGGCAGGCCUAACACAUGCAAGUCGAACGAGUGGCGGACGUGUGAGUAAUGUCUGGGAAACUGCAUGAUGGAGGGGGAUAACUACUGGAAACGGUAGCUAAUACCGCCUACCUUCGGAUGUGCCCAGAUGGGAUUAGCUAGUAGGUGGGGUAAAGGCUCACCUAGGCGACGAUCCCUAGCUGGUCUGAGAGGAUGACCCGCCAAACUGGAACUGAGAAACGGUCCCAACUCCCACGGGAGGCAGCAGUGGGGAAUAUUGCACAAUGGGCGAAAGCCUGAUGCAGCCAUGCCGCGUGUAUGAAGAAGGCCUUCGGGUUGUAAAGUACUGUCAGCGGGGAGGCGUUACCCACAGAAGAAGCACCGGCUAACUCCGUGCCAGCAGCCGCGGUAAUAC